rnacentral:rRNA from 1 species
UACGUAGGGUGCAAGCGUUAAUCGGAAUUACUGGGCGUAAAGCGUGCGCAGGCGGCUUUGCAAGACAGAUGUGAAAUCCCCGGGCUUAACCUGGGAACUGCAUUUGUGACUGCAUGGCUGGAGUGCGGCAGAGGGGGAUGGAAUUCCGCGUGUAGCAGUGAAAUGCGUAGAUAUGCGGAGGAACACCGAUGGCGAAGGCGGCUCACUGGCUCGAUACUGAC